UGGGCAACCUGCCCCUCUCUCUGGGAUAACCCCCGGGGAAACCGGAGCUAAUACCGGAUACUCUCGGCCGAUCACAUGGCUGGCCGAGGAAAGGUCCGCCGGUCAGGGAUGGGCCCGCGGCCUAUCAGCUUGUUGGUGGGGUCAUGGCUCACCAAGGCGACGACGGGUAGCCGGCCUGAGAGGGCGACCGGCCACACUGGGACUGAGACACGGCCCAGACUCCUACGGGAGGCA
rnacentral:rRNA from 1 species